CAGCCCCAUUUGCCUGGGACGUUCCUGGUUUUACCACUGAAAGUCACAUAUACGAGGAAACCCCUCAGUCCAGGGGAAACCAGGAUGUUUUCAUCUGUCCCUCCCUCCUCUCCUUCCUUCCUUUCCCCAAGAGGAAGAGUUGCCAGCUGCUCUGGUUCUUCUCUGCACCACCACUGCCCAGGAGGCGAUCGUCAGCGUGAACAACAGUAGCAAGUGUGUACUUCACUGAGGCAGCAGCGGGCACGGAGGUUCUCCUGCCUCAUCCCAGCGGGUCCUCACCAAGCCCUCUGAGGGGGGUUCUGUCACCUCCAUCUACAGAGGAGGAAAGCACGGCUGACUCAGGGUUCAUGAGCUCAUGAGUCCUCGCCAGAGCUCUUGGGAGUAAGUGUCAUCGCUCCCAUCGGACAGGAGAGGAAUGGAGAUCCUUCUAAGCUGACCCUUGGAGAUAGCUAAUAAAAGACCAACCUGUCCUCCAAGAUUAACGACUCGGAGAAAGACAGAGGGAGGGAGAGCGGGCGAGCAGGGGCCUGAGACCUGUGCUGCCCCCGGCCCGCCUUUUGAUGCUGGUGUCCGGGGCUUUGAACCUUUCCACAACAUGAACAGCUUAUCUUGUUCCACUCGAUCAAAAACAUUUCAUAAUGCCGGCUCCUUCCACAAGGUCACCUUGAAAUCUCUCCCCUGCUCGAAGCAUCCUGAACCCUCCUUUCCCUUAGAGAAGCAUUCUUGAAAUCAGAGGCAAAUGGACUUCCCCAGCCCUGUUCCCUCUCCAAGAAGAUUGCAUCUUGCCCCUCUGUAACAAGGCACAAAAAAGACGGAAAUAGUUACAGUUUCUUGCAAGCUGGCCAGUCUGGACGAUCCAAAUACCCCAGCACCCCCGGCCCCACGUGCUUACCUGGGCAGUCUUGGCCUCAUGCAAAUUUCUCCUCAGGCAGCUCUGACGCCCCGUGGUCUCUGAAGAUUCCUCGAGGAUGCACUCCCUCCUUUAGUUUUCAUGCGUGCCGCUGCUGCUCUGCUGGGCACCAGUCCUUCCUGCCGUAGGGUUCUCCUCCCCUGGUGGCUCUGCCUCCCCUUUG
rnacentral:lncRNA from 1 species